rnacentral:rRNA from 1 species
AACGAACGCUGGCGGCAUGCCUAACACAUGCAAGUCGAACGAGACCUUCGGGUCUAGUGGCGCACGGGUGCGUAACGCGUGGGAAUCUGCCCUUAGGUUCGGAAUAACAGUUAGAAAUGACUGCUAAUACCGGAUAAUGACGUAAGUCCAAAGAUUUAUCGCCUAGGGAUGAGCCCGCGUAGGAUUAGCUAGUUGGUGGGGUAAAGGACCUACCAAGGCGACGAUCCUUAGCUGGUCUGAGAGGAUGAUCAGCCACACUGGGACUGAGACACGGCCCAGACUCCUACGGGAGGCAGCAGUGGGGAAGUAUUGGUACAAUGGGCGCAAGCCUGAUCCAGCAAUGCCGCGUGAGUGAUGAAGGCCUUAGGGUUGUAAAGCUCUUUUACCCGGGAUGAUAAUGACAGUACCGGGAGAAUAAGCUCCGGCUAACUCCGU